CGUGCAGGCGGCUUGGUAGGUUGGACGUGAAAGCUCUCGGCUCAACUGAGAGAGGUCGUUCAAUACCGCCAAGCUUGAGGGCGGAAGAGGGGGGCGGAAUUCCCGGUGUAGUGGUGGAAUGCGUAGAUAUCGGGAGGAACACCCGUGGCGAAGGCGGCUCCCUGGUCCGCACCUGACGCUAAGACGCGAAAGCGUGGGGAGCGAACG
rnacentral:rRNA from 1 species